GCUAUAUUAGCAAAAGUAAUUGUAUCAGAUUUAGAAUCUGUUGGUGAGGAAAUAUCAUAUAGAA
rnacentral:tRNA from 1 species